GAUGAACGCUGACAGAAUGCUUAACACAUGCAAGUCUUUGGCGAAGCUGUGCUUGCACAGCCUAGCCAAGGCGGACGGGUGAGUAACGCGUCAGGAACUUGCCCUGCAGUCAGGGAUAACAGACGGAAACGACUGAUAAGACCUGGUAAAGUCAGGCGGACUCAUGUCCAGCCUGAUGAAAAGAGAUGCUGCAGGAGAGCCUUGCGUCCUAUUAGCUUGUUGGUGGGGUAACGGCCCACCAAGGCGAUGAUAGGUAGCCGGCCUGAGAGGGUGGACGGCCACGAGGGGACUGAGAUACGGCCCUUACUCCUACGGGAGGCAGCAGUGGGGAAUAUUGGACAAUGGGGGCAACCCUGAUCCAGCAAUUCUGUGUGCACGAUGAAGGUUUUCGGAUUGUAAAGUGCUUUCAGCAGGGAAGAAAAAAAUGACGGUACCUGCAGAAGAAGCGACGGCUAAAUACGUG
rnacentral:rRNA from 1 species